rnacentral:rRNA from 1 species
GAGCGAACGCUGGCGGCGUACCUAACACAUGCAAGUCGAACGGGGAUCACAGGGUUAGCAAUAACUCCGUGGUUCUAGUGGCGCACGGGUGAGUAACACGUGGGUAACCUGCCCUUGAGACUGGGAUACCCCCUCGAAAGGGGGGCUAAUACCGGAUACGUUCCUCGGAUCGAAAGGUUUGAGGAGGAAAGGUGGCGAAAGCUGCCGCUCUUGGAGGGGGCUCGCGGCCUAUCAGCUAGUUGGCGGGGUAACGGCCCACCAAGGCUAUGACGGGUAGCUGGUCUGAGAGGACGACCAGCCACACGGGGACUGAGACACGGCCCCGACUCCUACGGGAGGCAGCAGUGGGGAAUUUUCCGCAAUGGGCGAAAGCCUGACGGAGUGACGCCGCGUGUGGGAUGAAGGCCUUC